rnacentral:rRNA from 1 species
GAUAAACGCUGGCGGCGCACAUAAGACAUGCAAGUCGAACGAACUUAGGCUUAUUCUUUUAGAUUAAGUACGGUUAGUGGCGGACUGGUGAGUAACGCGUGAGUAACCUGCCUAUUAGAGGGGAAUAACAGUGAGAAAUCAUUGCUAAUACCGCAUAAGCUGAAAGAAUCGCAUGAUUCAGUCAGAAAAGGAGAAAUCUGCUAAUAGAUGGACUCGCGUCUGAUUAGCUAGUUGGUGGGGUAAAGGCCUACCAAGGCAACGAUCAGUAGCCGAACUGAGAGGUUGAACGGCCACAUUGGGACUGAGAUACGGCCCAG